GGAUUAGAUACCCCGGUAGUCCACGCCGUAAACGAUGAUAACUAGCUGUCUGGGCUCUUAGAGCUUAGGUGGCGCAGCUAAUGCAUUAAGUUAUCCGCCUGGGGAGUACGGCCGCAAGGUUAAAACUCAAAUGAAUUGACGGGGCCUGCACAAGCGGUGGAGCAUGGGUUAAUUCGAAGCAACGCGCAGAACCUUACCAGCGUUUGACAUGUCCGGACGAUUUCCAGAGAUGGAUCUCUUCCCUCGGGGACUGGAACACAGGUGCUGCAUGGCUGUCGUCAGCUCGUGUCGUGACGA
rnacentral:rRNA from 1 species